UACGUAGGGGGGCAAGCGUUGUCCGGAUUUAUUGGGCGUAAAGAGCGUGUAGGCGGCCAGGUAGGUCAGCUGUGAAAACUCGAGGCUCAACCUCGAGACGCCGGUUGAAACCAUCUGGCUAGAGUCCGGAAGAGGAGACUGGAAUUCCUGGUGUAGCGGUGAAAUGCGCAGAUAUCAGGAGGAACACCGGUGGCGAAGGCGGGUCUCUGGGCAGUAACUGACGCUGAGGAGCGAAAGCGUGGGGAGCGAACAGG
rnacentral:rRNA from 1 species